UACGUAGGGUGCAAGCGUUAAUCGGAAUACUGGCGUAAAGCGUGCGCAGGCGGUGAUGUAGAACAGGUGUGAAAUCCCCGGGCUUAACCUGGGAACUGCAUUUGUGACUGCAUCGCUGGAGUGCGGCAGAGGGGGAUGGAAUUCCGCGUGUAGCAGUGAAAUGCGUAGAUAUGCGGAGGAACACCGAUGGCGAAGGCAAUCCCCUGGGCCUGCACUGACGCUCAUGCACGAAGCGUGGGAG
rnacentral:rRNA from 1 species